rnacentral:misc_RNA from 1 species
AGAACGCAGCGAAAUGCGAUAAGUAAUGUGAAUUGCAGAAUUCAGUGAAUCAUCGAAUCUUUGAACGCACCUUGCGCUCCCUGGUAUUCCGGGGAGCAUGCCUGUUUGAGUGUCAUGGUAUCCUCAACCUUCAUAACUUUUUUGUUAUCGAAGGCUUGGACUUGGAGGUUGUGCUGGCUUCUAGUCGAGUCGGCUCCUCUUAAAUGUAUUAGCGUGAGUGUAACGGAUCGCUUCGGUGUGAUAAUUAUCUGCGCCGUGGUCGUGAAGUAACAUAAGCUUGCGCUUCUAACCGUCCUUCAGUUGGACAACUUACUUUGACAUCUGACCUCAAAUCAGGUAGGACUACCCGCUGAACUUAAGC